GCUCAUUUGUGUGUGUGUGAAUAAGCCAGAUCCUGUCUGAUCUCAGAAGCUAAAUAAGGUCAGGCCUGGUUAGUACUUGGAUGGGAGACCACCUAGGAAGACCAGGUACUAUAGGCG
rnacentral:rRNA from 1 species